CUCCUCUCAGGGUCACACCUGGAGAGUUUCCAGUGCUCUACCAGUCUCGAUUACAGGAGGGAGAGCCAAGCAGAGGCAUACCCAUUCCAUUCCUAGCUUGGGCAGCGGCUAGUGAGUGGAAGGCAAUCUACUAUAAGU
rnacentral:snoRNA from 1 species